CGUUCGAUGUGUAUCUGUAGCGCAAUGGACUUCUAAUCCAUAGGUCGUGGGUUCGAAUCCCAUUUCGAAUGA